GACGAACGCUGGCGGCGUGCUUAACACAUGCAAGUCGAACGGAAAGGCCCUGCUUUUGUGGGGUGCUCGAGUGGCGAACGGGUGAGUAACACGUGAGUAACCUGCCCUUGACUUUGGGAUAACUUCAGGAAACUGGGGCUAAUACCGGAUAGGAGCUCCUGCUGCAUGGUGGGGGUUGGAAAGUUUCGGCGGUUGGGGAUGGACUCGCGGCUUAUCAGCUUGUUGGUGGGGUAGUGGCUUACCAAGGCUUUGACGGGUAGCCGGCCUGAGAGGGUGACCGGCAACAUUGGGACUGAGAUACGGCCCGGACUCCUACGGGAGGCAGCAGGGGGGAAGAUUGCACAAUGGGCGGAAGCCGGAUGCAGCAACGCCGCGUGCGGGAUGACGGCCUUCGGUUUGUAAACCGCUUUCGCCUGUGACGAAGCGUGAGUGACGGUAAUGGGUAAAGAAGCACCGGCUAACUACGUG
rnacentral:rRNA from 1 species